GGCGAUUGCAGUGAUGAUAACAUUUUUCCCAGCUCAUUAUGAGACCUUAUUUAUAAGGUCAGGGAAUAUACUCCGUUUCCAACACAUAUAUGUAUCUGAGCUUCGCC
rnacentral:snoRNA from 1 species